rnacentral:rRNA from 1 species
AUGGUGGUCAUUUUGUUAGCCACAUUUUUUGUAGCAGCCACUCUUUGCCUGAGCUUAAUUGUGACAAAGUUAGUCAUAAACCAAACAGACGCUAUAUGUGUACUGAUCGCAGCAGGGGCGAUAGUACAGAAGAAGCCGCGAGAGAUAUGCUUUUUUUUAAUUUCUUUUUUGGAUUAUACGAGAGAUAUGGUGCUAGGGAGUAUUUCAGUGCGGUGUGGCCAGGGAAGGAAGGAAGGAAGGAAAAGUAGACGGUCCAUCCGAAACCGUCACCCUUCCGCUAUAACGAGAAAUCAGCUUUAA